GAUGAACGCUGGCGGCGUGCCUAAUACAUGCAAGUCGAGCGAACGGACGAGAAGCUUGCUUCUCUGAUGUUAGCGGCGGACGGGUGAGUAACACGUGGAUAACCUACCUAUAAGACUGGGAUAACUUCGGGAAACCGUAGCUAAUACCGGAUAAUAUUUUGAACCGCAUGGUUCAACAGUGAAAGACGGUCUUGCUGUCACUUAUAGAUGGAUCCGCGCUGCAUUAGCUAGUUGGUAAGGUAACGGCUUACCAAGGCAACGAUGCAUAGCCGACCUGAGAGGGUGAUCAGCCACACUGGAACUGAGACACGGUCCAGACUCCUACGGGAGGCAGCAGUAGGGAAUCUUCGGCAAUGGGCGAAAGCCUGACGGAGCAACGCCGCGUGAGUGAUGAAGGUCUUCGGAUCGUAAAACUCUGUUAUUAGGGAAGAACAUAUGUGUAAGUAACUGUGCACAUCUUGACGGUACCUAAUCAGAAAGCCACGGCUAACUACGUG
rnacentral:rRNA from 1 species